AUGCACAAAUUAUUGGCUCUCCUUGUCCUGGCCGGCGUGGCUUUGGCCACCCCCACCGUUCCCCGCCGCUGCUCCAACUACAACCUUUUCAACAAAUGGGACCCAUCCAUUCUGCUUGUGGUGUCGCCCAUUGUGGAUCAUGCUCGUUCGUUAGUUUCGUCCCAAGCACCAGGUGGACCACAGGAGGAAUCGACGGCUACGCUUUGGUGCAAUCCGCAUGGAAUUCUCGCUACGAUCGCUAUGACUUCACUGAGAGCUUGUUCAGCAGAGCAUACAAUGGUCUUGACCUCCCAGUAUACAGAUGCUUCUCCAAGGAAAAUCUCGACAGGACCUUCUUCUCAUACAGGGAUCUUAUGGACCCUACCUUCUUCUUACGAUUCCUACUCAAACGGUAAGUACUCACUGUUACUUUGUACUAAUUAA
rnacentral:lncRNA from 1 species